rnacentral:lncRNA from 1 species
GAGACACGUGGAUCACAAGCAGGCGGGAGAGGGUUGUGGAAAAGCCAGCAGGCCUCAGAAAUGUCUGAGGGAGCACAAACUCUGGGGGGAGCUAUUUCCUGGUGGCGGCACAAGAAGAAGCGAUAAUCAGGUGAGAUAUGAAGGCUUCUGCAGCCAAAUUCCUCAAGUGUAUAACAUACCAUGAGCUUUCAGUGUUCAGUCUCUCUGUCUCUGUCUCUCUGUCUCU